rnacentral:rRNA from 1 species
UUGAACGCUGGCGGCAUGCUUUACACAUGCAAGUCGAACGGCAGCACGGGUGCUUGCACCUGGUGGCGAGUGGCGGACGGGUGAGUAAUACAUCGGAACGUGUCCUGAAGUGGGGGAUAACGCAUCGAAAGAUGUGCUAAUACCGCAUAUACUCUGAGGAGUAAAGUAGGGGAUCGAAAGACCUUAUGCUUUUGGAGCGGCCGAUGUCUGAUUAGCUAGUUGGUGGGGUAAUUGCCCACCAAGGCGACGAUCAGUAGUUGGUCUGAGAGGACGACCAGCCACACUGGGACUGAGACACGGCCCAGACUCCUACGGGAGGCAGCAGUGGGGAAUUUUGGACAAUGGGCGCAAGCCUGAUCCAGCAAUGCCGCGUGAGUGAAGAAGGCCUUCGGGUUGUAAAGCUCUUUCAGUUGAGAAGAAAAGAUUGUAACUAAUAAUUACAGUUCAUGACGGUAUCAACAGAAGAAGCACCGGCUAACUACGUG